AGAUUGAACGCUGGCGGCAUGCCUUACACAUGCAAGUCGAACGCGAAAGUGGGGGCAACCCUGCGAGUAGAGUGGCGAACGGGUGAGUAAUACAUCGGAACGUACCCAGGAGUGGGGGACAACCUCGAGAAAUCGAGGCUAAUACCGCAUACGUCCUGAGGGAGAAAGUUGGGGACCGCAAGGCCUGACGCUUCAUGAUGAACCCGCGGCCUAUCAGCUAGUUGGUGAGGUAACGGCCCACCAAGGCUAAGACGGGUAGCUGGUCUGAGAGGACGACCAGCCACACUGGAACUGAGACACGGUCCAGACACCUACGGGUGGCAGCAGUCGAGAAUUUUUCACAAUGGGCGCAAGCCUGAUGGAGCGACGCCGCGUGGGGGAUGAAUGGCUUCGGCCCGUAAACCCCUGUCAUUCGCGAUCAACCCUUAUUAUUUAAAAGAUAAUAAGCUGAUAGUAGCGGAAGAGGAAGGGACGGCUAACUCUGUGCCAGCAGCCGCGGUAAUACAGAGGUCCCGAGCGUUGUUCGGAUUCACUGGGCGUAAAGGGUGCGUAGGUGGUGAGGUAAGUCGGAUGUGAAAGCUCGGAGCUCAACUCCGAAAUGGCAUUGGAAACUACCUUGCUAGAGGGUUGGAGGGGGGACUGGAAUACUUGGUGUAGCAGUGAAAUGCGUAGAUAUCAAGUGGAACACCAGUGGCGAAGGCGAGUCCCUGGACAACUCCUGACACUGAGGCACGAAAGCUAGGGGAGCAAACAGGAUUAGAUACCCUGGUAGUCCUAGCCGUAAACGGUGCACGUUUGCUGUAAAAGGAAUCGACCCCUUUUGUGGCGUAGCUAACGCGUUAAACGUGCCGCCUGGGAAGUACGGUCGCAAGAUUAAA
rnacentral:rRNA from 1 species